rnacentral:rRNA from 1 species
GUCGAACGAACCUUCGGGUUAGUGGCGGACGGGUGAGUAACGCGUGAGAAUCUGCCCUCAGGAGGGGGAUAACGGCUGGAAACGGCCGCUAAUACCCCAUAUGCCGCGAGGUGAAACGAAUUUCGCCUGAGGAUGAGCUCGCGUCUGAUUAGCUAGUUGGUGGGGUAAGGGCUUAYCAAGGCAUCGAUCAGUAGCUGGUCUGAGAGGAUGAUCAGCCACACUGGGACUGAGACACGGCCCASACUCCUACGGGAGGCAGCAGUGGGGAAUUUUCCGCAAUGGGCGAAAGCCUGACGGAGCAACGCCGCGUGAGGGAUGAAGGCCUCUGGGCUGUAAACCUCUUUUAUCAAGGAAGAAGAUCUGACGGUACUUGAUGAAUAAGCCACGGCUAAUUCCGUGCCASCAGCCGCGGUAAUACGGGAGUGGCAAGCGUUAUCCGGAAUUAUUGGGCGUAAAGCGUCCGCAGGCGGCCCUUCAAGUYUGCUGUUAAAAAGUGGAGCUUAACUCCAUCAUGGCAGUGGAAACUGUUGGGCUUGAGUGUGGUAGGGGCAGAGGGAAUUCCCGGUGUAGCGGUGAAAUGCGUAGAUAUCGGGAAGAACACCAGUGGCGAAGGCGCUCUGYUGGGCCAUCACUGACGCUCAUGGACRAAAGCCAGGGGAGCGAAAGGGAUUAGAUACCCCUGUAGUCCUGGCCGUAAACGAUGAACACUAGGUGUCGGGGGAAUCGACCCCCUCG